rnacentral:rRNA from 1 species
GAUGAACGCUGGCGGCGUGCCUAAUACAUGCAAGUCGAGCGCUGAAAUAAGGAGCUUGUUCCUUUGAGGUUAGCGGCGGACGGGUGAGUAACGCGUGGGUAACCUGCCUCUAAGACGGGGACAACAUCGGGAAACGAAUGCUAAUACCGCAUAAAACCUAGAAACGCAAGGUUCAAGAGUGAAAGAUGCAUUUGCUUUACUCAAAGGAUAGACCGGGGUGGAUUAAGUAGGUGGGGAAGGAAACGGCAUACCAGGCCAACGAACCGUGCCGAACCUGAGGGGUUGAUCGCCCCCACUGGAACUGAAACCCGCUCCAGCCUCCUACGGGAGGCAGCAUAAGGGAAUCUUGGCCAAUGGGGGAAAGCCGGACGAAGCAAGGCCGCGUGGGUGAUGAAGGUCUUCGGUUGUUAAACCCCUUUUGUUGGGAAAGAAGAUAGUGAGAGUGAACAGCUCAUGUCUUGACGGUAACUAAUCAGAAAGCCACGGCUAACUACGUG